GCGUGCAUUCUUUCAUCACUUACCACUUUUCAUUUAAUUCAACACCAUUCACUUCUCACUCCUCUUUUCUCACUUCGCUUUCUAUUCAAUUACAAGUGAAGAUAUGAGUGCGUGAAUUGAAUAGAAGCGAAGAAGAAAAGAACGUGGUGUUUAGUGUG
rnacentral:ribozyme from 1 species